UGGGGAAUAUUGGACAAUGGGCGAAAGCCUGAUCCAGCCAUGCCGCGUGUGUGAAGAAGGUCUUCGGAUUGUAAAGCACUUUAAGUUGGGAGGAAGGGCAGUAAGCGAAUACCUUGCUGUUUUGCCGUUACCGACAGAAUAAGCACCGGCUAACUCUGUGCCAGCAGCCGCGGUAAUACAGAGGGUUCAAGCGUUAAUCGGAAUUACUGGGCGUAAAGCGCGCGUAGGUGGUUCGUUAAGUUGAAUGUGAAAGCCCCGGGCUCAACCUGGGAACUGCAUCCAAAACUGGCGAGCUAGAGUAGGGCAGAGGGUGGUGGAAUUUCCUGUGUAGCGGUGAAAUGCGUAGAUAUAGGAAAGAACACCAGUGGCGAAGGCGACCACCUGGGCUCAUACUGACACUGAGGUGCGAAAGCGUGGGGAGCAAACAGG
rnacentral:rRNA from 1 species